rnacentral:pre_miRNA from 1 species
AAAAAAGCAAACCCUAGGUUUCUGUGUCCAAUUUUGAUUAUCCGUCUUAUAUGAAAUUUUUUAUAAUUCGUAUUUUUAUUGUUGUUAGAUGAUAAAACAUGAUUAAUAUUUUAUGCGUGACUUGUCUUUUCAAUUUUUUUCAUAAUUUUUUCAAAUAAGACGGACGGUUAAACGUUGGGCACGGAAACC